UACCAGCACCCCGAGUGGUCGGGACGAUUAUUAGGCCUAAAGCAUCCGUAGCCGGUUUUACAAGUCCUCCGUUAAAUCCAGCUGCUUAACAGAUGGGCUGCGGAGGAUACUAUAAGACUAGGAGGCAGGAGAGGCAAGCGGUACUCAGUGGGUAGGGGUAAAAUCCGUUGAUCCAUUGAAGACCACCAGUGGCGAAGGCGGCUUGCCAGAAUGCGCUCGACGGUGAGGGAUGAAAGCUGGGGGAGCAAACCGG
rnacentral:rRNA from 1 species